UUUCUUUAUUUUUUCCUUCUCUCUCACCUGUUUCGUCGUGCGUACCAAAUCUCUCCUUCUCUCUCUCUCCUCACUUUCUCGCUCAUCCCGAGCUCCUCGCACGAAAUCUCUCUGGAUUCCGCCGAUUGAAAUUACCUUCCCUCGUUCUCGAUCCGAAAUCCUUAAAUCUCUCUGACCCGACCCAUGGUUAAAUCCCCGCCACCUAAGCCCUAGGCUUCCCCGAAUCGUUUCAACCCCCACCCAAUCGAAGACCCGCGGCUUGAUCUAGGGUUUUAUCCCCUCCCCCCUCUCCCCUCUCCCCCUCCGAAUUUCGAGAAUCUAGGGUUCUUGCUGUUGAAUUCGACUCCGGAUUGAUGUUUCAUAUCAAGGUGGACGAUUGUGGGAUCGAUUGCUCGCGAAUUGAAAACCGAGAUGGAGGGCUAUGCAUGGUUCGCCAGCUGAGAAGUCGAUACGCCGUCGGCACAUGUGGCCUGUCCCUCAUUCCAACGCCACGACUGUAGCUUCCGACCAUUCUACCGCAACCGAUUCCUUCUCCAAAGAUGGACGCAAAAUUUGUGUUGGCGACUGUGCACUUUUCAAGCCACCCCAGGAUUCCCCACCUUUUAUUGGAAUAAUUCGUAGGCUAAUAUUAGACAAGGAGGAACGUCUAUGUUUAGGUGUAAAUUGGCUUUAUCGACCUGCUGAUGUAAAGCUUUCCAAAGGGGUCUCGCUAGAAGCUGCCCCAAACGAGGUCUUUUACUCCUUUCACAAGGAUGAGAUACCUGCUGCAUCGUUACUCCAUCCGUGUAAAGUCGCAUUCCUUCGUAAAGGUGUUGAACUUCCUUCAGGGAUAUCCUCAUUUGUGUGCAGACGAGUGUAUGAUACUGAGAACAAUUGUUUAUGGUGGUUAACUGACAAAGACUUUAUUAAUGAACGACAGGAAGAAGUAGAUCAGCUAUUAGACAAGACAAGACUAGAAAUGCAUGGGGCAGUGCAGUCGGGAGGUCGUUCUCCGAAACCCUUGAAUACUCCGUCAUCAACACCACAGAUAAAAUCUGGUUCAGAUAGUUUACAGAAUAGCACAUCCCCCUUUUCUUCGCAGGUUAAAGGAAAAAAGAGGGAACGAGGAGAUCAGGGCUCUGAACCUGCCAAACGAGAACGUUUAGUUAAAAUAGAGGAUGGAGAGUCUGGUCAGUCCAGACCUGAAAAUAUGCUAAAGUCUGAGCUUGGAAAAAUAACAGACAAAGGAGGACUACUAGACACACAGGGGGUUGAGAAGUUUGUCCAACUUAUGAAAGCUGAAAGUGCUGAUAAGAAAAUAGAUUUGGCUGGCCGAAGAAUGCUUGUUGAUGUGAUAGCAGUUACUGAUAGGUUGGAUUGCCUUGGGCAAUUUGUACAACGCAAGGGUUUGUGUGUGUUGGAUGAAUGGCUCCAAGAAGUUCACAAGGGAAAACUUGGUGAUGGUAGUAGCCCAAAAGAAAGUGAUAAAUCCGCUGAGGAAUUUCUUUUUGCCUUACUUCGUGCACUGGAGAAGGUUCCUGUGAAUCUUCAUGCGCUGCAGACUUGUAAUGUUGGCAAAUCUGUGAAUAAUUUACGCACUUACAGAAACUCUGAAAUCCAGAAGAAAGCUAGAAGUUUAGUUGAUAUGUGGAAGAAACGUGUUGAAGCUGAGAUGAAUUUGAAUGAGACAAAGACUGGAUCUAGUCGUGGUGGUGUUUCCUGGCCUACGAAGCAUGCAUCUUCAGAAGUUUCUCAUGUAGGGAGCAGAAAAAUUGGAAGUUCAUCUGAGGUUGGCACAAAAAGUUCUACUAUGCAACCUUCUGUGUCUAAAACUCCUCAGAUUAAACUUGGCUGUGGAGAAACAGUUUCUAAAUCUUCUGGUUCACCUGGAUCAACGAAAUUGUUGAGUAUAUCAUCCGGCAAUCUCUCAAGGGACCAGAAUUUCAGAACGUUAGGUGCCGGAGCUUCAGAUCUUCCAUUGACACCAAUUAAGGAGGAAAGAAGCAGCAGUUCUAGCCAGUCUCAGAACAACAGCCAGUCAAGUGAUCAUGCGAGGACAGUGGGUUCUUUAUAUAGGGAAGAUGCAAGGAGCUCGUCUGCUGGUUCAGUUAGUGCGAGCAAAAUUUCUGGCAGUUCUUCUCGCCAUCGGAAAUCAAGCAAUGGCCUUAAUGGGUCUACUGCCUCAGGAGUUAAGAAGGAAUCAGGGCCAGGAAAAGCUUGUACCCUCAAUAGAAAUUUGACUUCUGAAAAGGCUUCAACAGUAGGAGUAUCCUAUGAGAAGCUUCCUGAAGUGCCCAUGGUUGACCAUGGAAACAACCGGCUGAUUGUCAGAUUGCCAAACACUGGUAGGAGUCCUGCUCGUGGUACCUCGGGAGGUUCUUUUGAAGAUCCUGUUAACAGAGGGUCUCCUCCUGCUGAAAAGCAUGACAACCAUGACCAAAAAUCUAAGCACAGAAGUGAUGCCUUGCACGGUAAUAGCACAGCAGAUGUUAACUCAGAUGCAUUUCACAGCAAAGAGGGAUCAUCUGGUUCUGAAGAUGGCAAUGUGCCAACUAUAGGCAGCGAACAAAAUAGGGGUGGUGAAGAUGGUGAAAAACAAACAGAAGCAUCAAAGGCUACUGGUUCCUCGUCAAAAGUCACUUUAAGGACAGGAAAAUCAUAUGAAGCAUCGUUAAGCUCCAUGAAUGCGUUAGUUGAAAGCUGUGUGAAGUUUUCUGAAAGUAGUGGUGCUGCUUCACCUAGUGAUGAUGUUGGGAUGAAUUUGCUAGCUAGCGUGGCUGCUGGAGAAAUGUCCAAAUCUGAGAAUGUGUCACCAUCAGGUUCUCCUGGGAGGAAUUCUCCUGUGCCUGAGAGAUCAUACUCAGAAGAUGAUGCCAAGUUGAAACAACUGGGCAAAGAAAUUGCUGACAUUCAAUGUCAACCUAAUGGAGCGGUCAAUAGUGGUGCUACUGAGCUGGGCAGUGGACGUGACUCAUUGCGAGGUAAGAAUGAAACAAGACACUCUCUUACCCACCUGCCAACUAAUGGUUUUGCUGAUGUUAAAGUUGCUUCAUCUGGGUGCGGGGAUAGAACAGCUGAGUGUAAUGCAAAUUUGAAUUGUUCUUCAAAUAAGAAACAAAAUACUGAUGGUCAAUCCUUGAGGGAUGAUGUGAAGCCUGGUGAGUCAUGUGACGCUUCAGCAUUAGAGCCACUUUCAUGUGCUAGAAAAGAGGGUCAUUUGGAGGCUGAAGGAUCUAACCAGUCUCAUGAGCAAGGAAAAUUGGAGGCUUCUAAUGAUGAAAGAACUGUCAGGAGCAGUACACCAGUUGUGUCUGAAGCAGCCUCUGGGAGUGCAAAAGUUGAACAGGACAUUGAAAUAUCUACUUGCUCAUCCUCUCAAUUGGCUGGCGAGAACCAUGAUUUAAAAAAGGAUUCGAAUAGUGCUAUACUGACAGAGCAGAAAUCAUCUGUCGUCGAAGGAAUCCACUCAGAUUCCAGAGAGGGGAAGAGUGAGGAUGCUGUUCUAUGUUCUGGUUCUGGAAACACUUUACAUGUGGAGUUUAUGGAUGAACAGACAGAUGACAUUAAGGCUUCCGGUCACACUGCACAGCCAGAGAAAGAGACACCGGAUAGUUCUGUUCCAUUUUCGCAGAACAGCAGAGAUUUUGCUCAGGAUACUACAGAAAGAAACGAGGCUUUUGUUCACUGUUCCGAUCAACCGGUUUCGAAGGCAGAGUCACCAUCAAUAUCUGUUAAAGAAAAUGAGCAGCAUGACAAGUCUAGUAAGUGUAAGUCAGAAGUUAUUGAAUCAGGGGAGACGGAGGAGCGGCAAGUUUCCUCGGCAUCAGGUACUGCUGUAAAGCUGGACUUUGAUUUGAAUGAGGGCUUUCCUGUUGAUGAUGGGAGCCAACCAGAGUUUGUUAAAGCAGGAGAUCCUGGAACUUCGUCCUCUGUUCAUUUUCCUUGCCCUUUACCUUUUCAAAUGUCUUCCAUGUCAGGGAGCUUCCCUGCAUCAAUUACUGUAGUAGCACCGGCCAAAGGUUCAUUUGUCCCUCCUGAAAACCUGAUGCGGAGUACGGGUGAACUUGGAUGGAAGGGAUCUUCAACCACCAGUGCAUUCCGACCUGCAGAACCCCGAAGGAAUGUAGAAGCAUCUCCCAAUACAACGGAUGCACCUAUUGUUGAUACUGCUUCCACCAAACAAGUCCGCCCUCCAUUGGACUUUGACUUGAAUGUGCCUGAUCAGAGAGUUUAUGAGGAAGUUGUUCAAAACUCGGAUGUAAAGUCUGGAUCUCGUGAUCGGGGCUCUGGAGGGCUUGAUCUUGAUUUGAAUAGAGUGGAUGAGAGUCCUGAUAUUGGGCCGCUUGUAAGCAACAGUUAUAGGUUGGAUAUUCCUCCUUUGCCCGGUAGGUCAUCAUUAUCCGGUGGACUAUCUAAUGGUGCGGUCAACGACUCCAGAGACUUCGAUUUAAACAAUGGGCCAGGCCUUGAUGAAGUUGGCACUGACACAGCUCCUUGCACCCAGCAUUUAAAAACCAGUAUGCCGCCUCGUACUCCUGUUCAUGGUUUAAGAAUAAACAACCCUGAUUUUGGGAACUUUUCGGCAUGGUUCCCUCCAGGAAACUCAUAUUCUGCCAUCACAGUCCCGCCAAUGUUCCCUGGCAGGUGUGAGCAGAGUUACGGUGCUGCUGCUGGGUCUCAGAGAGUUUUAUGUCCUCCCACUGGUAAUGCUGCAUUUGGUCCUGAAAUCUACAGGAGGCCAGUGCUUUCGUCCUCAACUGCUGUGCCAUUUCCUCCUGCUACCACAUUUCAAUAUCCAGGGUUUCCUUUUGAAACCAGUUUUCCUUUGUCAUCGGGCCCCUUUUCUGGUUCUACUGCAUAUAUGGAUUCAUCAUCUGGUGGAGCACUUUGCUUUCCCCCCAUGCCCUCGCAGAUGGUGGGACCUGGUGGUGUAGUUUCAUCCCCUUACCCGAGACCCUAUAUGAUGAGCCUUCCCAGUGGUAGCAGUAAUGUUGGCCUUGAUGGUAGGAAAUGGGGUAGUCAGGGUCUUGAUCUUAAUGCCGGGCCUGGAGCUACAGAAAUAGAACGGAGAGAUGAUAGGUUACCUUUGGGAACGGGGCAGCUUUCUGUUCCCAGUUCACAAGGUCCGGUAGAGGAACAGUUAAAGUUGUUUCAGGUGGGAGGUGCAUUGAAGAGAAAGGAACCUGAUAGUGGAUUGGAUGCUGUUGAUCGAGUUAGCUAUAAGCAGCCUUCAUGGCAGUAGAAUUGUGGCACAAUGCAGCAAACCUGUCAUGGCUUGCACUUCGGGGUUUCGCCUAGGAAACGUACAGGAGUUGACAAGUUGUUCACAUGAACAGUAAAAAAUGAUAAAGGGCAGGUGCAUGCGUUCAUUGCACGGAACACCAGUCUGUACCACCUCUUAACUUUGGAAAGCCCCCUGGGGUCCUGGAAGCAGUUCUUUUAACUGAAUCUGCUCUGAUAGCCACUGCAGACAAGUUUUUCUGUGUAGAUAUCUAACUCUUGGAAAGCAUCCUCGACGCACUGCCUAAAGCCGUGACAUUGGUGCUCAAUAUUUGGACUUGUGCCAGUUCAGAUCAUUUUUUUUUCUGUUCGCCGGAGAAUCACUUGUUUUGGAACUGCCCCGAUUUGCUAGUUGUUUGUACAAGCCUUUAUGCGAUCACGCCGUUUGCAGCCACGGAGCAGCGUUGCGUCGUGAUGAAAUGUAUUGACUUGGAUUCAUCCCUCUUGUGGCGGAAAAUGUCUUCAAAGUUAUUGCGUCAACAAUUUAUUCAUGCGGUGCAUGCCAUACACCGGAGGAGACCGUAAAAAAAUUUAUCUGAAAAAGUAAGCGAACUGUUAGUGCAGGACACGUUUAUCAGAUUUCAGUAUCGAAGUAGCGUUAAGGACAAGUGAGGAUUCUUGCCGGAUUCUUUUUGUGCGAUCCCGAAGAUUUUCAAAUUAUAUUUGUUCAUCCUACAUCGUCGAAGAUUCUCAAAUUAUAUUUGUUCAUUCUAUAUCGUGUGUGGUCAGAUAUCAUUGUAAAGUUUUUUUAUUGAAAAUUAAAUAUAAACAGUACCUGACGAAAA